CAACGCGCUCCCUCAUUGCUGCAGUAUUACAACACAUCCGAACCCACAAACCGACCCUUUUUAUCUAGAGCCCAGCGCCAUUAUAGACAGACCGAGCCCCUUCCGGCGCCGAAGGUGAUAUAUCGCAAGUUGCCAGGACCAGAGUGGAGCCUGCCUGUGCCACUCAUCACCUGGGGCCGGGGCUACGCAGCAGUGUCAACUGAAACCGGCCCUGUGUGGGU